rnacentral:tRNA from 1 species
GGCGCGGUAGCCAAGGGGUAAGGCAGCGGUCUGCAAAACCGCUAUUCGUCGGUUCGAGUCCGACCCGCGCCUCCA